rnacentral:rRNA from 1 species
UGGGGAAUUGUUCACAAUGGGCGCAAGCCUGAUGACGCGACGCCGCGUGAAGGAUGAAGGUCUUCGGAUUGUAAACUUCUGUGAGGGCAGAAAAAGGGUGUACGGCCUAAUACUCCGUGCAUUUGAUAGUAUGCCCAGAGGAAGCCCCGGCUAACUCCGUGCCAGCAGCCGCGGUAAGACAGAGGGUGCAAACGUUGUUCGGAAUUACUGGGCGUAAAGCGCGUGUAGGCGGCUUGGCAAGUCGGGUGUGAAAGCCCUGGGCUCAACCUAGGAAGUGCACUCGAAACUGCUUCGCUUGAGUGUCGGAGAGGAAAGCGGAAUUCUCGGUGUAGAGGUGAAAUUCGUAGAUAUCGAGAGGAACACCGGUGGCGAAGGCGGCUUUCUGGACGAUUACUGACGCUGAGACGCGAAAGCGUGGGGAGCAAA